rnacentral:rRNA from 1 species
UCCAUAUGAGCCAUAUCACCCUGCAGCCCAAGACUGGUUGCCCACUGAAGCUAAACAGGGUUGAGCCUGGUCAGUACCUGGAUGGGAGACCUCCUGGGAAAACUAGGUUGCUGUUGGAA